ensembl:snoRNA
AUCCUCCUGUAGUUCCUAAGUGUGAUGAUUGUGUUUUCAGGCUCAUAUGUGAGAUGUGCCUCCCUCAGAUCCUGUUAUGACGUUGGCACAUUACCCAUCUGAUG